UACGGAGGGAGCUAGCGUUAUUCGGAAUUACUGGGCGUAAAGCGUGUGUAGGCGGUCUCAUAAGUCGGAUGUGAAAGCCCCGGGCUCAACCCGGGAAGUGCAUUCGAAACUGCGAGGCUAGAGUAUCGGAGAGGUUGGUGGAAUUCUCGGUGUAGAGGUGAAAUUCGUAGAUAUCGAGAGGAACACCGGUGGCGAAGGCGGCCAACUGGACGAAUACUGACGCUGAGACACGAAAGCGUGGGGAGCAAACAGG
rnacentral:rRNA from 1 species